rnacentral:rRNA from 1 species
UACGAAGGGGGGCUAGCGUUGCUCGGAAUCACUGGGCGUAAAGCGCACGUAGGCGGCUUUUUAAGUCAGGGGUGAAAUCCUGGAGCUCAACUCCAGAACUGCCUUUGAUACUGAGAAGCUUGAGUCCGGGAGAGGUGAGUGGAACUGCGAGUGUAGAGGUGAAAUUCGUAGAUAUCAGGAGGAACACCUGUGGUGUAGACAGCUUACUGGACCACUUCUGACGCUGAGACACGAAAGCGUGGGUAGCAAACAGG